rnacentral:rRNA from 1 species
AACGAACGCUGGCGGCAUGCCUAACACAUGCAAGUCGAACGAGACCUCCGGGUCUAGUGGCGCACGGGUGCGUAACGCGUGGGAACCUGCCCUUAGGUUCGGAAUACUCCCCCUACGGGGUGGAUAACCCCGUGAAAGUUCUUCGACCACAGGAUUUUCGCCCUUGGUUGGGGCCGCGUUGGAUUAGACAGUUGGUAAGGUAAAAGGCUACCAAGGCGUCGUUCCAUAGCUGGUCUGAGAGGAUGAGCAGCCACACUGGGACCGGGACACGGCCCAGACUCCUACGGGAGGCAGCAGUGGGGAAUAUUGGACAACGGGCGAAGGCCUGAUCCAGCAAUGCCGCGUGAGUGAUGAAGGCCUUAGGGUUGUAAAGCUCUUUUACCCGGGAUGAUAAUGACAGUACCGGGAGAAUAAGCUCCGGCUAACUCCGUG